AUUAUAGUGUGUUAUCUUGCAUUCUGAUGUCUUAUUUAGUAAAUUAGUUUGUUUCUCCUCAGAUCAUUGCAGCUGUUUAUUUUUUAGAUCCAUCUCUCUAUCCUUUUCCCUUAUCUCUUUCCAGGGCAUGGAUCUACCCCUCUAGUCACGGAACCAGUCAGCCAGUAAAGCGUUGACACUCAUACACCAGCAAUUUGGUGGUGUAAGAUUCUUUUCGAUUACUGAAGCCAUACAUUGUCUGCUCAUCUUGGAAUCAUCCAAAUGCUGGCCAGAGGGUGAGGAGACUUUGAACUUGGCUAUAUCAGCAUGUAAUUCUUUACAGUGGGACAGCGUCAGCAGACUGAAGCUGAAGAACUUUCUUCUAUGUUCUGCAUUUACCCUCAGAUUGUUCUCAUCCCACAUCUUUCUCCUUAUCAGUGGAGUCCAAGACUGUGCCUGACUAACCUCCUAUGAUGGAGUGAUGGAAGACAAAGUAGUAGACAAAGGAAGAACUACCUGGACUUCUUUGACGCCUUUGGUAUGGUCCUGCACUACAUUCUUUUCUCCAAACUGGACAGAUUUGAAGGAUGAAAUGUUGAGUGGAUAAGGAAUUGGUUGGAAAGUCGCAGCCAGCGGGUUACAGUCAGUGGCUCAAUGUGCAGGAGGAGGCCAGUGAUGAGUGGUGUCCCUCAGGGAUCUGGUGCUCUUUAACACCUUUACUAAUGACCUUGAUAGAGGGAUUGAAUACACC
rnacentral:lncRNA from 1 species